UACGUAGGGUGCGAGCGUUAAUCGGAAUUACUGGGCGUAAAGCGUGCGCAGGCGGUUCGUUGUGUCGGCGGUGAAAGCCCCGGGCUUAACCUGGGAAUGGCCGUUGAAACUGGCGAACUGGAGUGUGGCAGAGGGGGGUGGAAUUCCGCGUGUAGCAGUGAAAUGCGUAGAGAUGUGGAGGAACACCGAUGGCGAGGGCAGCCCCCUGGGUCAAGAUUGACGCUCAUGCACGAAAGCGUGGGGAGCAAACAGG
rnacentral:rRNA from 1 species